AUUGAACGCUGGCGGCAGGCCUAACACAUGCAAGUCGAGCGAGCGGCGGACGGGUGAGUAAUGUUUGGGAAACUGCCUGACGGAGGGGGAUAACUACUGGAAACGACAGCUAAUACAGUAUUCCAUCAGAUGUGCCCAGAUGGGAUUAGCGAGUAGGUGGGGUAACGGCUCACCUAGGCGACGAGCCCUAGCUGUCAUGAGAGGAUGACCAGCCCCACGGGAACUGAUACACGGUCCAGCCUCCUACGGUAGGCAGCAGUGUGGAUUAUUGCACAAUGGGCGCAAGCCUGAUACAGCCAUGCCGCUUGUGUGAAUAAGGCGUUCGGGUUGUAAAGCACUUUCAGCGGAGCGGCGUUACCCGCAGAAGAAGCACCGGCUAACUCCGUGCCAGCCGCCGCGGUAAUAC
rnacentral:rRNA from 1 species